rnacentral:rRNA from 1 species
AUUGAACGCUGGCGGAAUGCUUUGCACAUGCAAGUCGAACGGCAGCACGGGUGCUUGCACCUGGUGGCGAGUGGCGAACGGGUGAGUAAUAUAUCAGAACGUAUCCAAUAAUGGGGGAUAACUAGCCGAAAGGUUAGCUAAUACCGCAUACGCCCUGAGGGGGAAAGCUGGGGAUCGUAAGACCUAGCGUUGAUGGAGCGGCCGAUAUCUGAUUAGCUAGUUGGUGGGGUAAGAGCCUACCAAGGCGACGAUCAGUAGCUGGUCUGAGAGGACGACCAGCCAAACUGGAACUGAGACACGGUCCAGACUCCUACGGGAGGCAGCAGUGGGGAAUUUUGGACAAUGGGGGAAACCCUGAUCCAGCCAUGCCGCGUGAGUGAAGAAGGCCUUCGGGUUGUAAAGCUCUUUCGGACAGAAAGAAAUCGCCAUCUCUAAUACAGGUGGUGGAUGACGGUACUGUAAGAAGAAGCACCGGCUAACUACGUGCCAGCAGCCGCCGUAA